CUGCGAAUGGCUCAUUAUAUAAGUUAUCGUUUAUUUGAUAGUACCUUACUACUUGGAUAACCGUGGUAAUUCUAGAGCUAAUACAUGCUAAAAAUCCCGACUUCGGAAGGGAUGUAUUUAUUAGAUUAAAAACCAAUGCCCNUCUGGGCUCUCUGGUGAUUCAUGAUAACUUCUCGAAUCGCAUGGCCUUGCGCCGGCGAUGGUUCAUUCAAAUUUCUUCCCUAUCAACUUUCGAUGUUUGGGUAGUGGCCAAACAUGGUUGCAACGGGUAACGGAGGGUUAGGGCUCGACCCCGGAGAAGGAGCCUGAGAAACGGCUACUACAUCCAAGGAAGGCAGCAGGCGCGCAAAUUACCCAAUCCCGAUUCGGGGAGGUAGUGACAAUAAAUACUGAUACAGGGCUCUUUUGGGUCUUGUAAUUGGAAUGAGUACAAUUUAAAUCCCUUAACGAGGAACAAUUGGAGGGCAAGUCUGGUGCCAGCAGCCGCGGUAAUUCCAGCUCCAAUAGCGUAUAUUAAAGUUGUUGUGGUUAAAAAGCUCGUAGUUGAACCUUGGGCCUGGCUGGCCGGUCCGCCUCACCGCGUGUACUGGUCCGGCCGGGCCUUUCCCUCUGUGGAACCCCAUGCCCUUCACUGGGUGUGGCGGGGAAACAGGACUUUUACUUUGAAAAAAUUAGAGUGCUCCAGGCAGGCCUAUGCUCGAAUACAUUAGCAUGGAAUAAUAAAAUAGGACGCGCGGUUCUAUUUUGUUGGUUUCUAGGACCGCCGUAAUGAUUAAUAGGGACAGUCGGGGGCAUCAGUAUUCAAUUGUCAGAGGUGAAAUUCUUGGAUUUAUUGAAGACUAACUACUGCGAAAGCAUUUGCCAAGGAUGUUUUCAUUAAUCAGGAACGAAAGUUAGGGGAUCGAAGACGAUCAGAUACCGUCGUAGUCUUAACCAUAAACUAUGCCGACUAGGGAUCGGACGAUGUUAUUUUNUUGACUCGUUCGGCACCUUACGAGAAAUCAAAGUGCUUGG
rnacentral:rRNA from 1 species